rnacentral:rRNA from 1 species
AACUAACAAGGAUUCCCCUAGUAACUGCGAGUGAAGCGGGAAGAGCUCAAAUUUAAAAUCUGGCAGUCUUUGGCUGUCCGAGUUGUAAUCUAGAGAAGUAUUAUCCGCGCUGGACCGUGUACAAGUCUCCUGGAAUGGAGCGUCAUAGAGGGUGAGAAUCCCGUCUUUGACACGGACUGCCAGGGCUUUGUGAUGUGCUCUCAAAGAGUCGAGUUGUUUGGGAAUGCAGCUCAAAAUGGGUGGUAAAUUCCAUCUAAAGCUAAAUAUUGGCGAGAGACCGAUAGCGAACAAGUACCGUGAGGGAAAGAUGAAAAGAACUUUGGAAAGAGAGUUAAACAGUACGUGAAAUUGCUGAAAGGGAAACGCUUGAAGUCAGUCGCGUUGGCCAGGGAUCAACCUUGCAUUUUUGCUUGGCUUACUUUCUGGUCGAUGGGUCAGCAUCAAUUUUGACUGGUGGAAAAAGUUCAGGGGAAUGUGGCAUCUUCGGAUGUGUUAUAGCCUUUGUUCGCAUACAUCAGUUGGGAUUGAGGAACUCAGCACGCCGCAAGGCCGGGUUUUUAACCACGUACGUGCUUAGGAUGCUGGCAUAAUGGCUUUAAUCGACCCGUCUUGAAACACGGACCAAGGAGUCUAACAUGCCUGCGAGUGUUUGGGUGAAAAACCCGAGCGCGUAAUGAAAGUGAAAGUUGAGAUCCCUGUCGUGGGGAGCAUUGACGCCCGGAUCUGACCUUUUGUGACGAUUCUGCGGUAGAGCAUGUAUGUUGGGACCCGAAAGAUGGUGAACUAUGCCUGAAUAGGGUGAAGCCAGAGGAAACUCUGGUGGAGGCUCGUAGCGAUUCUGACGUGCAAAUCGAUCGUCAAAUUUGGGUAUAGGGGCGAAAGACUAAUCGAACCAUCUAGUAGCUGGUC